CCGCCGAGAGGCAACUAUGAGCGCGUUCUUGCAAAGGCAUAUGCCGAAGCGGAGUGGUCAGGAAGUACUGUCAGUGAUAAAAGGAUGAAAGAACGACGAGCUGGGAAAAAAAUUGCCCAGCUCGGCGAACAAGCGAACCAAUCGUGCCCCCCGCUCAAGGUGUCAAAAGACAUCGUUGCUAAUGAUCCGAGUAUGGUGCCCGGUUAUAGCAAUCUUGGAGAUUACCUGCCCGACGAUGUACAUUAUGAAAUCAUGGAGGUGGACGAACACAAAUACCAUUACGGGAAGCCUCUCGUCAAAGAUGUCAGAUCUCUAAGCACGAUGAUGCGAAGACUACAUGAU
rnacentral:rRNA from 1 species